UACAGAGGGUGCAAGCGUUAAUCGGAAUUACUGGGCGUAAAGCGUGCGUAGACGGUCAUGUAAGUCGGGUGUGAAAGCCCCGGGCUCAACCUGGGAAUUGCAUUCGAGACUGCAUGGCUAGGGUGCGGAAGAGGGAAGCGGAAUUUCCGGUGUAGCGGUGUAAAUGCGCAGAUAUCAGGAAGAACACCCGUGGCGAAGGCGGCUCUCUGGAACGCAACUGGACGCUGAAGACGCGAAAGCCGUGGGGAGCAAACAGG
rnacentral:rRNA from 1 species